AGAUUCCUCAUGGAAAUUAAAGAAUGUGGACAGGAUCAUACCUGAAUUCCUCUGCCACGCAGAGUUAGCACCUCAACAUGUUCAAGAGACCUGAACAUCCUUGCCUGAGUGUCCCGGUGCCAGUGGUCCCAAUAGUCCUGGUAGGAGCGCAUGUAAACCUUGUUCAAGGAGGAGAUGUCAAACAGCAGAAAUAUUUUCUACAAAAAAAAAA
rnacentral:lncRNA from 1 species